GACGUAGGGCGCGAGCGUUGUCCGGGAUUUAUUGGGCGUAAAUGAGCUCGUAGGCGGCUUAUCGCGUCGAAUGUGAAAACUUGGGGCUCAACCCUAAGCCUGCAUUCGAUACGGGCAGGCUAGAGUUCGGUAGGGGAGACUGGAAUUCCUGGUGUAGCGGUGAAAUGCGCAGAUAUCAGGAGGAACACCGGUGGCGAAGGCGGGUCUCUGG
rnacentral:rRNA from 1 species